rnacentral:misc_RNA from 1 species
UAUCACGAAUCAAGCUCGGCUUGCUGUUGGACCUUCUUGUCGGUAAAAGACAGGUCCUAAAGAUAAUGACGGUGUUAUUAGAACCCUAGAUGUAACGAGCUUUAACUAGCAUGCAUUAUAGUGGCUUUGUAACCCGGUCGUUUUUUAACCAAUCUCCAAAGGUUGACCUCGGAUCAGGUAGGAAUACCCGCUGAACUUAA